AGCCACUCCAGUCCCUUCCCUUCCAGCCUGGGGACACCCUCCAGCAGCAGCCCUAAAACCGAGGGAAUUCCCCUCACAGAAAUUCCGUCCCAAGCAAGGCCCUCGGAGGUGCCCUAAAACAAAAGGUUAGAGUUAGAUGAAGUUUUGUUUGGAUGAAGUUUGGAGUUUUUAGGGAGCCAGCUGGAACUGCAGAACUGCUGGGAAGCUUGCACAGGUGGGUCACGCCGCAGGUGCCCUGAAGGCAGGGAUGGGCAUCCCUUUCCUCAGGGAAGAGAACUCCCAGAGGCCACUCCUGCCCUGGCCUGCUGUAAAACAUCAACGGGAGCCCGAGCCCAGGGGUGGAGUCCAUGGAAUUCCAGGGAACUCUGUCAAUGCCCCCGGGAAUAUGGGUGGGGCUGAGGGAUGAAUAAAUAGCAAAAGGUUAUAAAUAGCAAAUGCUAUGGAAUAUCAACCUGUCCUUGUCCUGAUCCCACUGAGCUUCCUUGGAGCCUCUGCUGGCUCCUGGCACAGCUGGUGUUCAAUAGGCAGCUCUGUGUGGGAAUAUCCAUGCUGCAUGAGGAUAUCCAUGGAUAUCCAUGCUGCAGGAGGCACUGGGAGGUUAUUCCAGUAGGGAAUUCAGGGCUAUAGCUAUAAUUCAUCUAAACAGCAAAGCUGAACCCCAAAUCUGGGUUUCCCUGCCAGCCAAAGCCCCUGGGCUGGGAAACUUCAGCAGCCAAACACAUGGAAUUCUCUAAAUCCCAGCAACCAGCAUUUUGUCCUCUAUAUAUAUUACCUAUUUCUAAAACCAAAAACCACACAGGUUUUGUCUAUCUCAUCCACUAAAUGCUCAUUCUGUCCCCCACAAAUUAUAUCAGAUAAUUCCUCAAAAAUACUUCAAUAUUCUUCAGGUUAUUUCAAGUUUUACCCCCAAGGUCUUCCCUGUAUGUCUACUACUAUUUAUCUCAUUUUUACCUCAAAAUACUAAUUCUACAUCCUGUAAAAAAUAUCAAAUUCUAUACCCAAAAUUUUCAUUACCUCUCUACAAGUGAUUACCUCAGUUUACCUCAUGAUCAUUCUCUUCCCUGGGGAAUAGUUCACAUUCCCCCACAAAUAUUCCCUGUCCCCUUCUGAUUUCCUCAUUUUUACAAGAAAGCAUUCUUUCUUUACUCUGGAGAUUACCACAAGAUUUACCCUAAAAAUUUUACCUACCUGUCCACUCCCUAUUACCUCAUUUCCAUCUCAAUAUUUUCAUUCUUUACCCUACAGAUGCUUUCAGUUUUCCCUCCCAGUAAUUUCCUUACCUGUCCAUAACUGGUUACCUCAGUUUACCCCAUCAAGUGCAUCCUCUCUGCUACAGUUCAACUCAGAUUUUACCCCUGAAAUUUCCCCUACCUCUCCACCACUGAGUGAGUACCUCAUUUUUACCUCAGAAUAUUCAUUUUCUACCAUGCCAAAUCCCUCAAGUUCUACCCCCCAACUUUACCCACCUGUCCACAGCAAUUUUACCUCAGGUUCUUCCUGCUCUUUCCAAAAGAUAAUCUCACAUUUUACCCCCUCAAUUUUCCCUGCCUGCCCAGUACUGAUUACCUCCUUUUCACCUCAAAAUAUUUAUUCUUUCACCCAAAGAUUAGCUCACUUUUUAUUACCAAAAUGCCUAUUUUGUCCCCUGUAUACUAACAAUGUUUUAAAACCAAAACCACACAAGUUAUGUCUUUCUUAUCCCCAAAUUCUGUCCCCUGCACAUCACAUCAGUUUUCCUCAAAAACAUUUCUUUUUAUUAGCUCAGGGUUUGCCCCCCAAAUUCUCCCAAGCUGGUCCCCUCCUGAUCACUUCAUUUCUCCCUCAAGAUGUUCAUUCCCUGCCCUACAGAUCUUCCCAAGUUUUACCCCCAAAAUUUCCUUGCCUGCCCCCAGUGACUGCCUCAGUUUAUGUCAGUGUUCACUCUCUCCCUUGAGAUUACUCCAGUUUUACUUCCAAAAUUUUCCUUACCUGUCCCCAAUUUACUACCUCAUUUUUACCUUAAAAUAUUUAUUCUCAACCUCUAGAUUAUUUCAUUAUUCCUCUACCUGUCCACUACUGAUUCCCUCAUUUUCUCUUCACUAUAUUUUCUACCAUGUGGCUUGUCUCAUUAUUUAUCCCCUAAUUCUCCAUCUGUCUACUAUUGAUGAUCUCACUUUUACCUCAAAAUGUUCUUUCUCUGCCCUACAGAUUAUUUAAUAUUAUUUUUGCCCCUCAAAAUUUCCCUAUCUGCCCACAACCGAUUCCCUCACAUUACCUCAGUAUGUUCAUGCUCUCCCCUAGAAAUUAUCUCAGAUUUAGCCCCCAAAUUGUCCCUACAUGCUCAGUACUCAUCACCUCAUUCUUCCCUCAAAGUCUUCAUUCUCUGCUCUUGAGAUUUUGUCAAGUUUUGUCUCCAAAAUUUUCCUUACUUAAAAAUGACUACCUCAUUUUUACUCCAAUACAUUCAUUCUGUCCCCUACAGAUUGCAUUGAGUUUUACCCCAAAAUUUUCCUUCCUGUACAAUAUUGAUUAGCUCUUUUCUACUCCAAAAAUUUGCAUUGUCCCCUAAACAUCACCUCAGCUUUUCCCUCAGAAAUGCCACCUUGCUCCCCUUGACAUCCUCACAUUUUCCUACACAAACAGUUCUUGUGUCCCCUCAACUGUCCCAGGUUUUCAGCUAAAAAUGUCACCUCUGUCCCCUCUGAGUUACCCCAGGUUUUCCCUGUUAGGAGUUGCAAGGAAUUCGGGCAGGGCAAAGGACAGCAGGGAAUUCUGUAAAUUCAAAGGCAGAGAGAGAAGAUCUACCAGCAAAGGGGAAAGGUUUCAGAAAUCAUUUCUGCAAUUACUAAUUAAUAAUCAUUUCCAAUCCCCAGUGAGAAGAACAUGAACUCACCACCAUUAAGGCCUGGCAGUUCCCUGCAGUGAGAGCUCAGUGCACAUCCACAGAGGCAAUUGCAGCAUCUGAAAGGAAGAAAAGAAGAAAAAGGACUUUUCCAAUCCAACCCUGAAGCUGAGAAGCCCAAAAGCUCUGGAGUCUGCUCUGGAACAAAAGGAUCCUCCCAGGGCUGAGGCCCAUUCCCAGCAAACCCUCCCAACAGGCCCAGAGGCGCUGCUGGAGCUCCUGCUGGGCUGGGAAGGGCUGCCAGGAGGACACAGCCCCAGGGGUGGCAGUGGCAGUGGCAGCAGCAAAUGGCCACGCUGGGAUGGCACAGCAGAGCCCAAGGCCAGCAAUGGCCACGGCAGCUGCAGGGUUAAUUCUGCUCCCUGCCUGCCCCAGCCCGGCAGGAAAUGCCCGGGGGGACAGAAACUCUCAGGGUGCACAAAGUGCAGCAUCUGUGCCCCCGAUCCUGCCUGAGCCCAGCGUGGGGGGCCAACCCCCCCAGGGUCAGCCCUGCCCUGGCUCAGCCCCAGACACUGCCCCAGCUCCCGGCUGCUCCCGGGGCUGCCACCACUCCUGGCAAGGGGACAAAGGUGACAAAGGCCACAACUGCAUCCAGGCCCAUCACUCCAUCCAGGUCCUCCCAAAGCUCCCCAUCUGUGCUUUGGCCAGUGCCUGCCCCCAGCCCUGCAGCAUCCAGAAAGUUUGAAUGCUGGAGAUCUGCUGUACUUCUCCCCUUCAGUGUUAUUUCCAGGAAGUAACAAACCCACCACAGUGCAAGGGAAGAAAAGGUGAUUUAAGGAAUGUUUUACUCACACACUCCUCACUUUACCCCUCACAACCACCCCAGCAUGGAACAGACAUUCAGGAAUUAGUGUUCAGUAGCUGCCAUUGGAAUUUUAAGGGAUACCAACAAAGCCUUGAUACAUAUGUGGGGAAUUCCAAAACAGGUUUUCCUUCCCCAUCCAUGUCAGCAUCCAGCACAAUUCCCUGCUGCUGUUUGGUCCCCAGGAGCUGCAAGAGGAAUGUCAGUCCUCGGCGUAGCCUCGUUAGUCCAGGAGAUAAUUAAUUCAAAGAGAAUUCAUCUGGUCAGUGACAGAAGAUCAUCACAGCGGAACAUGAUCCUUGCCACAGGAUAUUCCCACCCCUGUGGGCAGUUCUCUGAUCAAGAACUACUUCCCAAAUUCAGUGAUUCCAUUUAAACCACAGCAGCACAGUUUGCAGGGACACAAGUUUUCAGCCUUGUGUGAACGAAGUGAAGACAAAACAUCACUGGGAGAAAUCCUGAAGUUUAAAAUCCUAUUCCUCACUUCUCUGACUAAUGCACCUCUUAAAAUCCAGUCUGGAUUGUGCAGAAAAGUUCCUUGGUCCCACUUGGAAAUUGAUCUCCCCAAAACCCAUUAAACAGUUAUUACAAGUGAUUCCAUUCAUUACUAAGGAAAAGACAAUACAAAUAAACUGGAAAAAAAAUUGG